AGACUGACAGGGAUAAUGCAGAGACCUGGAAGUCAAAUAAAAAGCAGAAGUGACUAACUGGCAGGAACAGAAGCCGCUCAUUUGGAAAGGAUCUUCCCUGCGAAGCUGAAAUGUGCAAACACAAGUCAAGGUCAUGUAUGAUCUCCUGCUCUUCAAGGGCAGAGAUCACUUGUGUGUGAGAAAGAGAGAGAGCAAUUGCUUAUUGAUGUAAUGGAAGCAAAUGAUCAUAAUGUAAAGGGCAGGUAAAUGACAGCAUCCUUCUGAAAGAUAUGCAGAACCUCUCCUGCUUCUUCUGAGUGGUGUUUUGUCUCCUCUCCACAAACAUGACAAGAGCCCUGAAUGCUGAUAAAGCAAAGCUUGGCAGAGUCCCAGGCAAGCUAUCUUCUUCUGAGACUGCACUCUGGUGAGCUUCUCACUUGUUUUGCAGGUAUUCAGUCUUCCAAAGCCAGGAACAUACAUCUUCGGGAGAUAAAGUUGCAACAGAAUUUUGAAUAAACUGAACAUGGAAAUGCUUCUGGCUCAGCUAACAGAAUGACGUAGUGGCCUUGGAGAAUGACACCAUCUGCAGGCUGGCACUGCGGGAAAUGAAGAUGCGGGAUUAGAAGGGUUUUGAACAUGUAGGAAAAUGAUGGAGAAACUGCUUUGAAAUGCUUACUCACGUCCUUCAAAUCUUCAAGCUGGACAACAGGGAGAUAUGUAUGAGCUUUAAAGAAAAGUACUUCCCAAUGACACUGCCCUCAAACGGUAACAUCAAUAUCUGAUCUGCCAGCAGAGUGGCUGCCUUACACUUGACCCUGUACCUGCUCUACCCAGGUGGCACAGAAGACAAGCUGGAACUCCUCUUUGCUGGUUUCCCCUCCCCAGAUUGCUGGAAGGUCAGGCUGAGGUGCCCCACAGCUGAAUGGUUUGUUAGGAAAACAGGAUUUACUGACAAUGGACCAGCAUCCACUGCCAGUGUAAAUUAACUUUGCCACACAGAAAUCUUGCUUUAUACCAGCUGAUGUUCUGCCUCAGUUUGUCCAUUAUUCAUCCCUUUAUUCUGAUGUCGGAUGCAGUUG